CAUGCCGAAAGACGCUAGCCGACAAUCGAACCCGCAUACGUGGCAGAUUCGCUCGCAACGACGAAAUCAGCGAGAUUCCGAAAUCACUUUCUUCAACUUCGACAACAGAAGAAUAUGAAGACGAAUUCUGGGUUGAGUUCAUCGAAGGAUUAAACGAGGAGGUCAUCGGUUAGAUGGAAGCAGAAGAAUGUGCAGAAUUUCAGUUUCUGUAUCUGUGUCUUUGGAGUCUUGACAGAAGCAUCUUUUGGAAGACCCUUUCUAUGAUACAGCAUACGUGGCAGAUUCGCUCGCAACGACGAAAUCAGCGAGAUUCCGAAAUCACUUUCUUCAACUUCGACAACAGAAGAAUAUGAAGACGAAUUCUGGGUUGAGUUCAUCGAAGGAUUAAACGAGGAGGUCAUCGGUUAGAUGGAAGCAGAAGAAUGUGCAGAAUUUCAGUUUCUGUAUCUGUGUCUUUGGAGUCUUGACAGAAGCAUCUUUUGGAAGACCCUUUCUAUGAUACAGCAUACGUGGCAGAUUCGCUCGCAACGACGAAAUCAGCGAGAUUCCGAAAUCACUUUCUUCAACUUCGACAACAGAAGAAUAUGAAGACGAAUUCUGGGUUGAGUUCAUCGAAGGAUUAAACGAGGAGGUCAUCGGUUAGAUGGAAGCAGAAGAAUGUGCAGAAUUUCAGUUUCUGUAUCUGUGUCUUUGGAGUCUUGACAGAAGCAUCUUUUGGAAGACCCUUUCUAUGAUACAACUUAGAACGAAACAAAACAGCCUUUUGUAAGCAAAGGAAAUAUUACAAAAGGCUUUUCAAUUCAUCUCAAUUAAUAAAGUCUAAGUAUAUUUGGAGCAUAAGCUAUGGUAUGGAAGUCAAAUGUAAGUUGGGCAGUUAUAGGUUGGUUUUUUUGCUUAAUUCUAUUUCAUUU